rnacentral:rRNA from 1 species
GACGAACGCUGGCGGCGUGCUUAACACAUGCAAGUCGAACGAUGACUUCCGAGCUUGCUCGAUUUGAUUAGUGGCGAACGGGUAAGUAACACGUGAGCAACCUUCCCUUCACUCAGGGCUACCCUCGAGAAAUCCUGGUACAUACUGGGUCUGUGCCACUGUCGCAUGGCGGGUGUUGGAAAGUUAUUCGGUGAAGGAUGGACCCGCGGCGUAUCAGUUUGUUGGUAAGGUAGUGGCACACCAAGGCGACGACGGGUAGCCGGGCUGAGAGGGCGACCGGCCACGCUGGGACUGGAACACGGCCCGGACUCCUACGGGACGCGGGAGUGGGGAAUAGUGCAUAAUAGGCGAAAGCAUGAUGCGGCGACGCCGCGUGGGGGAUGACGACCUGCGGGUUGUAAUGCUCUUUCAUCUGGGAAGAAGCGAAAGUGACGGUACCUGCAGAAGAAGCGCCGGCUAACUACGUG